GAGUGGGUUUAUGGGACCAGUGGUGUAAAAAGUACCUUAUUUUCAUACUUGAGUAAAAGUAAAGAUACCUUAAUAGAAAAUGACUCAAAUAAAAGUAAUCCAGUAAAAUACUACUUGAGUAAAAGUAAAAAAGUAUUUGGUUCUGAAUAUAGUUAAGUAUCAAAAGUAAAUGUAUAAAUAGUGGGUUGAUGGGACACCUCAUCUUAUGGAGUUGUGUUGGAUAUCAAUUUCAAGUUAAGCAGUUUGUUUUUAUUUGUAAUUAAACUGGCAUAUCAGAAAUGUAUGUAAUCUAGUGCACUAAAUAUAUAAUAGAAGUUAGCAGGUGUUAUAUUAGUGGUGAAGAAUACAUGUACACUAUUGUGUAAUGUAUUGUAGUGAAUGUGGGGACUAGCCUCUCAUCCAGCAACUGUCAAACCAACACCUUAGUCGUUACACCAACAGAUAUGAAACCUUUGAGGUUGCUAGGUGUUGGGUUAAGGUCACUAUAGUAUAAACUCAGUAUAGACCAGGUCAUGAGGUUGCUAGGUGUUGGGUUAAGGUCACUACAGUAUAAACUCAGUAUAGACCAGGUUAUGAGGUUGCUAGGUGUUGGGUUAAGGUCACUAUAGUAUAAACUCAGUAUAGACCAGGUUAUGAGGUUGCUAGGUGUUGGGUUAAGGUCACUACAGUAUAACCUCAGUAUAUACCAGGUUAUGAGGUUGCUA
ensembl:lncRNA